UACGAAGGGGGCAAGCGUUGUUCGGAAUUACUGGGCGUAAAGGGCGCGUAGGCGGCUUAUCAAGUCAGGCGUGAAAUUCCCGGGCUCAACCUGGGGGCUGCGCUUGAUACUGGUUGGCUUGAAUCCGGGAGAGGGAUGUGGAAUUCCAGGUGUAGCGGUGAAAUGCGUAGAUAUCUGGAGGAACACCGGUGGCGAAGGCGACAUCCUGGACCGGUAUUGACGCUGAGGCGCGAAAGCCAGGGGAGCAAAGCGGG
rnacentral:rRNA from 1 species